AACGCUGGCGGCGUGCUUAACACAUGUCAGUCGAGCGAUGAGAUCACUUCGGUGAUGGAUUAGCGGAGAUAGGGGGAGGAACACGUGAAGAAUCUGCCUUCAACUCUGGGAUAACUCCGGGAAACCGGGGCUAAUACCGGAUAUGACCCUUGAUCGCAUGAUCGGAGCUGGAAAGUUUUUCGGUUGAAGAUGACUUCUCGGCCUAUCAGCUUGUUGGUGAGGUAAUGGCUCACCAAGGCGACGACCGGUAGCCGGCCUGAGAGGGCGACCGGCCACACUGGGACUGAGACACGGCCCAGACUCCUACGGGAGGCAGCAGUGGGGAAUAUUGGGCAAUGGAGGAAACUCUGACCCAGCGACGCCGCGUGCGGGAUGAAGGCCUUCGGGUUGUAAACCGCUUUCAGCAGGGAAUAAGCGCAAGUGAAGGUACCUGCAGAAAAAGCACCGGCUAACUAUGUGCCACCAGCCGCGGUAAUACAUAGGGUGCAAGUGUUGUCCGGAAUUAUUGGGCGUAAAGAGCUCGUAUGUGGUUUGUUACGUCGGUUGUGAAAUUCAGGGGCUCAACCCCUGACUUGCAGCCGAUACGGGCAAGCUAGAGUUUGGUAGGGGAGACUGGAAUUCCUGGUGUAGCGGUGGAAUGCGCAGAUAUCANGAGGAACACCGAUGGCGAAUGCAGGUCUCUGGGCCAAUACUGACACUGAGGAGCGAAAGCGUGUGGAGCGAAUACGAUUAGAUACCCUGGUAGUCCACGCCGUACACGGUGGGCGCUAGUUGUGCGAACCUUCCCGGUUUGUGCGACGCAGCUAACGCAUUACGCGCCCCGCCUGGAGAGUACGAUCGCAGAUUAAGACUCA
rnacentral:rRNA from 1 species